AGGAUUCUAAUCGAUGCACAUACCUUGAAGCUAGCGUUGACGAACUUAAGUGUACUGUCAUUGAAUUGCGUCGGCAGAUAGAGGAGACACAAAAACAAAAGAAUGAUCUCGAAAAAACUGUAAAUGAUUUGACGAAAUCAUCAUGUGUUGUCCGGAAAGUACGUAGAUGCGCAUCAUACAUUUCGGGUUUUUACUCCAGAUUAUUUCAGAACACUGUCGAUGUUCACUAUACCGAAGAAGAAGAAGAAGAUGAUGGAACAGAAGGAGGAAGAGAAGGAGAAAGUUUGCUUUCAAAUUCACAUACAAGAAAUUACUGGAACAUUGAUAAUUUACCACAUUUAUUUAGAUAAGCUGCCAAUUAAUAUACCUUAAUUAAAACAGACAAUUAUUUUAAAAAGACGAAAGUUUUAAUACUCGUCCAUUAGUAUAUUUCACAAGUAAGGCCUAAACUAAAAGUGUUUAUUUCUCUACCCACAAAAUUAGCUACCCCAAAAAAAUCACUGCCAUAAAUAAUACCUUCCUAACUGUAUACCUACCUACCAUCUCAAACUGACAUUGGUCCCGAAACAAGCCUAAACACACUGGCAUGGUAGGGGGGAACAAAUUUUGUAUAUAAAGGCUGCCCGAAUAUAAUAUUUUCUAUACUCUUUAGUAUUAAACAUGAUACCAAGUAUCAAAAAUAAAAGAACAAGGUAAUGGCUACUACAAAAGGAAAGACUCAUUACUUUAAAGUUAGUUUUUGUGGUGUAAAAAUGGCACGAGAACCUUCGCUACAGUUUCCAUAUAGAAAAAUAGAAACUAUAUGUUUUAUACUUAUACUCUAUGCCAUUUCUACAUAAAUAUCUUACAUAACAGUUCUCUUGAAAGUCAUCAAAUACUCGAUUUAUGUGUUUAUAUUAUAUGUUAUUUUGGUUUUGGAGUGAUAUAUGUGGAUAUAUUACCUGUUAAGAUUUUAUAUCACCCGAGCCGUAGGCGAGGGUGAUAUUUUAUCUUGGCAGGUAAUAUAUCCACAUAUAUCACUCCAAAACCAAAAUAAUAAUUUUAUUACCCUUCCCCUGCCGAGUUAAGACGAUUUUUUAAAAAAUCAUUGCUGUUUCAAAUGAAACGUCGAAAUAAAUUUCCCUUUAGGGUACCUCUUCGUCACAACAUGACGUCACAUAAAUACAUGACGUUUUUUUUCCGUACCUAACGAAUGUAAA